rnacentral:rRNA from 1 species
CUGAUCAGCAUGCCGCGUGCAGUGAUGAAGGCCUUCUGGGUUGUAAACUGCUUUUGCCGGGGAGAAAACCUUGCUACCUGUAGACAGCUGAAGGGACCGGUGGAAUAAGGAUCGCCUAACUCCAUGCCAGCGCCCCCGGUAAUACGGAGGAUCCGGGGGUUAUCCGAAUUUAUAGGGUUGGAAGGGUGCGUAGGCGGCGUGUUAAUUCAAGGGUGAAAGACAGUGCCUCAACUCUACCAGUGCAUUGGAUACUGAAGAGCUUGAAUACAAUAAGGGUAGGGGAAGUGUGACUACUCGCGGUGAAAUGCAAAGAUUUGUCACAAAACACCAAUCCCAAAGGCAACUUACUAUCCUGGGAUUGACGCUGAGGCCCGAAAGCGUGGGGAUCAAACAGGAUUAGAUACCCUGGUAGUCCACGCCCUAACCGAUGAAAACUCACUGUUGGCGAUGCAAGUUUAGCGGCUAAGCGAAAGCGUUAAGUAUUCCACCUGGGGAGUCCGCCCGCAGGGGUGAAACUCAAAAAAUUUGAGGGGCUU